rnacentral:lncRNA from 1 species
CAGGGGCUGUUCAGAGCCACGUGGAGCUUGUCGCAGGGAGUGGAGUGGUGUCCAUUAUCGUGACUUGCCAGAGCAUGAUGGAGCCGUGUGGGAUCUGUUACAGGAAGUGGAGCAGAGUCGUGGCCAUUACUGUGGCCUGCCAGGGAGUCCGGAUCUGUCGGUCGAAGCUCGGUUGGGGUGUCUGAUGGAGAGAGAUGAUUCUCUGUCUAAGAGGAGCUCGGAUGUUGCUGGGUUGGGUGCCUUGGGCGCUAGUGCUGCAGGCGAAGGUCAUCUGCUGUAGAAGGUCGGUCAGGGGCUUUCUGUGG